ACUAAGCGUACACGGUGGAUGCCCUGGCAGUCAGAGGCGAUGAAGGACGUGCUAAUCUGCGAUAAGCGUCGGUAAGGUGAUAUGAACCGUUAUAACCGGCGAUUUCCGAAUGGGGAAACCCAGUGUGAUUCGUCACACUAUCAUUAACUGAAUCCAUAGGUUAAUGAGGCGAACCGGGGGAACUGAAACAUCUAAGUACCCCGAGGAAAAGAAAUCAACCGAGAUUCCCCCAGUAGCGGCGAGCGAACGGGGAGGAGCCCAGAGCCUGAAUCAGUGUGUGUGUUAGUGGAAGCGUCUGGAAAGGCGCGCGAUACAGGGUGACAGCCCCGUACACAAAAAUGCACAUAUUGUGAGCUCGAUGAGUAGGGCGGGACACGUGGUAUCCUGUCUGAAUAUGGGGGGACCAUCCUCCAAGGCUAAAUACUCCUGACUGACCGAUAGUGAACCAGUACCGUGAGGGAAAGGCGAAAAGAACCCCGGCGAGGGGAGUGAAAAAGAACCUGAAACCGUGUACGUACAAGCAGUGGGAGCACGCUUAGGCGUGUGACUGCGUACCUUUUGUAUAAUGGGUCAGCGACUUAUAUUCUGUAGCAAGGUUAACCGAAUAGGGGAGCCGAAGGGAAACCGAGUCUUAACUGGGCGUUAAGUUGCAGGGUAUAGACCCGAAACCCGGUGAUCUAGCCAUGGGCAGGUUGAAGGUUGGGUAACACUAACUGGAGGACCGAACCGACUAAUGUUGAAAAAUUAGCGGAUGACUUGUGGCUGGGGGUGAAAGGCCAAUCAAACCGGGAGAUAGCUGGUUCUCCCCGAAAGCUAUUUAGGUAGCGCCUCGUGAAUUCAUCUCCGGGGGUAGAGCACUGUUUCGGCAAGGGGGUCAUCCCGACUUACCAACCCGAUGCAAACUGCGAAUACCGGAGAAUGUUAUCACGGGAGACACACGGCGGGUGCUAACGUCCGUCGUGAAGAGGGAAACAACCCAGACCGCCAGCUAAGGUCCCAAAGUCAUGGUUAAGUGGGAAACGAUGUGGGAAGGCCCAGACAGCCAGGAUGUUGGCUUAGAAGCAGCCAUCAUUUAAAGAAAGCGUAAUAGCUCACUGGUCGAGUCGGCCUGCGCGGAAGAUGUAACGGGGCUAAACCAUGCACCGAAGCUGCGGCAGCGACGCUUAUGCGUUGUUGGGUAGGGGAGCGUUCUGUAAGCCUGCGAAGGUGUGCUGUGAGGCAUGCUGGAGGUAUCAGAAGUGCGAAUGCUGACAUAAGUAACGAUAAAGCGGGUGAAAAGCCCGCUCGCCGGAAGACCAAGGGUUCCUGUCCAACGUUAAUCGGGGCAGGGUGAGUCGACCCCUAAGGCGAGGCCGAAAGGCGUAGUCGAUGGGAAACAGGUUAAUAUUCCUGUACUUGGUGUUACUGCGAAGGGGGGACGGAGAAGGCUAUGUUGGCCGGGCGACGGUUGUCCCGGUUUAAGCGUGUAGGCUGGUUUUCCAGGCAAAUCCGGAAAAUCAAGGCUGAGGCGUGAUGACGAGGCACUACGGUGCUGAAGCAACAAAUGCCCUGCUUCCAGGAAAAGCCUCUAAGCAUCAGGUAACAUCAAAUCGUACCCCAAACCGACACAGGUGGUCAGGUAGAGAAUACCAAGGCGCUUGAGAGAACUCGGGUGAAGGAACUAGGCAAAAUGGUGCCGUAACUUCGGGAGAAGGCACGCUGAUAUGUAGGUGAAGUCCCUUGCGGAUGGAGCUGAAAUCAGUCGAAGAUACCAGCUGGCUGCAACUGUUUAUUAAAAACACAGCACUGUGCAAACACGAAAGUGGACGUAUACGGUGUGACGCCUGCCCGGUGCCGGAAGGUUAAUUGAUGGGGUCAGCGCAAGCGAAGCUCUUGAUCGAAGCCCCGGUAAACGGCGGCCGUAACUAUAACGGUCCUAAGGUAGCGAAAUUCCUUGUCGGGUAAGUUCCGACCUGCACGAAUGGCGUAAUGAUGGCCAGGCUGUCUCCACCCGAGACUCAGUGAAAUUGAACUCGCUGUGAAGAUGCAGUGUACCCGCGGCAAGACGGAAAGACCCCGUGAACCUUUACUAUAGCUUGACACUGAACAUUGAGCCUUGAUGUGUAGGAUAGGUGGGAGGCUUUGAAGUGUGGACGCCAGUCUGCAUGGAGCCGGCCUUGAAAUACCACCCUUUAAUGUUUGAUGUUCUAACGUGGACCCGUGAUCCGGGUUGCGGACAGUGUCUGGUGGGUAGUUUGACUGGGGCGGUCUCCUCCUAAAGAGUAACGGAGGAGCACGAAGGUUGGCUAAUCCUGGUCGGACAUCAGGAGGUUAGUGCAAUGGCAUAAGCCAGCUUGACUGCGAGCGUGACGGCGCGAGCAGGUGCGAAAGCAGGUCAUAGUGAUCCGGUGGUUCUGAAUGGAAGGGCCAUCGCUCAACGGAUAAAAGGUACUCCGGGGAUAACAGGCUGAUACCGCCCAAGAGUUCAUAUCGACGGCGGUGUUUGGCACCUCGAUGUCGGCUCAUCACAUCCUGGGGCUGAAGUAGGUCCCAAGGGUAUGGCUGUUCGCCAUUUAAAGUGGUACGCGAGCUGGGUUUAGAACGUCGUGAGACAGUUCGGUCCCUAUCUGCCGUGGGCGCUGGAGAACUGAGGGGGGCUGCUCCUAGUACGAGAGGACCGGAGUGGACGCAUCACUGGUGUUCGGGUUGUCAUGCCAAUGGCACUGCCCGGUAGCUAAAUGCGGAAGAGAUAAGUGCUGAAAGCAUCUAAGCACGAAACUUGCCCCGAGAUGAGUUCUCCCUGACCCUUUAAGGGUCCUGAAGGAACGUUGAAGACGACGACGUUGAUAGGCCGGGUGUGUAAGCGCAGCGAUGCGUUGAGCUAACCGGUACUAAUGAACCGUGAGGCUUAACC
rnacentral:rRNA from 1 species